AUGAAGAAUACUUCAUUCGCUAACCGUUUCGGGUUUAUUCCCAAGGGAUGGAGUGGUAAAGCUCUAAAAACCGAGUAUAUGGUGCUGAUUCAUUAGGUACUGUAACGCAGAUUCUUCGGUGGCAGACGCAAUACAGCCGUAGGUGAAAAGCCGCGGUAACCCUAUAAGCGAUACGUGGUACUAUCAAGCGGCAAGGGAAAACCAAGAUAAGUCUGUUUGCUGUGACGGUUUAGUAAUAAGCCUAUAACAUCGGGGAAUCGUACAAGUAGCCCAAGGCAAAAACCCAAAAAACAUAAAAAUCUUACUCUUGUAAACUAUAAUGCUUACUCUUGUAAACUAUAAUGCGAAUGUCGGGUGAACGUUGCUGGUAAAAUCCAGUCAUGAUUGCGAAAGCAAGGCGUAAGUCUCUGAGGAAAGUUGUAGGGUCGCUCCCCAUGGCUCGCACCUCUUAGCAUGUGGCGCAACAGCUUAAUGAUGAGGUUUGGAGAA
rnacentral:sRNA from 1 species